AGCAAAUUGGCGACGAACACAUCUACUCAUCGCCCGUUCGAGAGAAAAAUCGUGGAAAAUUCCAUAACCAUCACCAAAUCGACAAAACCCUAAAUCGCUCUCCACCUUUUAAGCCUCAACCGAUAAAAUCGGAGAAAUAGAAGCCGUUUAUGGAGUUAUUUUCCUCCACUUCCGCGAACUUCAGCGCCUCAAACACAGAAUCAGCGACGAAACCUAAAUCCUCCGAAUCUCACCGCUUGACCAGAAUCGAAGAAAUCGAAGCCGUGGAAGCCAUCUACAGCGUUAUUUUCCUCCACUGCUGCUAACUUAACAGCCUCAAAAACUGAUUCAGCGACGUAAGCACAAAUCCUAAGUAUCUAACCGCCUGCACCGAUGAACACGGACAAGCAGAAGACGCAAACGGAGAUGAAAUCCUAUCCAUCACUAGAAAAAGUGAUAAAAUGGCAAGUUUGUUGAACAAAGUUG